rnacentral:lncRNA from 1 species
CCAAUCUCUCCCAAUAAACGUGUGCAGAAGGAUCCUGUUGCAGCGUCGUUCUUCCUGGCCAGUCGAGCGUGCACAAGACUCAUCCCUUUCAUCCUCCAUGGUCUACAAGAGGAUGUCUCCCCACCAACCCUGCUAGGCCUCCCUACUUCCUGGGGCCUCAAGUAUCUUGAGACUCUUUAUCCAUGGAGACAUCUUACUUAUCCUGGUCUGAAUAGAAGUUCACAUGUGAAUCUACAGAAAAAUUAAUCACAAAAGCAGGGAGUUCGUGGGGACUGUGUACCAAAUCCAGAUGUUUCAUCACUGAACUAUGCUUUCAGUCUGCUAAGCAUAACUGUAAGCAUUGGAAAUUGUGACAAUAAAAUUAAAAAGAGAAAGAAAAGAAAAGAAAAAGAAUUCUGAAAUGCAAUAAAAGAAAUCCGAGCUGCUUUGGUACUCCUGGUCCAUGCAAGUACCUAUAUUGAAACAGCAAUUACUGAGCAAAAGAUGAGAUUCAAAUACCUUAAAACAUAGCCCUAUAUUUU